CACAGAAAUGACCUACAAAGCCUAA
rnacentral:piRNA from 1 species